ensembl:lncRNA
AAGAAAUAAAGCUCCUUUUAAAUCUUGUGUUUCAAGAAUACUUGGUUAAUAUGUUUAAAUUGCAGAUGUCUGGAGCAGGAAAGUCAUCAAGUUCACCAGCUGGUCAGCCCAGAACAACUAAUGUUUUGGAGUGCAUGAGACAAAGCCCCAGUCCUGAAGCCCCUGGCACCCAAACCCAAGUCCAAGGUACAGUGUGUUGCUCAAAUACAAAUGUUCUCCAGCUCUGCAGGGUCACACACUCUGUCUCACCCCAUAAAACUCACUCUCCGCUCGGUCUGCCUGGGACGACCUGGUUAUCUAGUAUCCUUUCCUCCAAAAUGUUUAGUUCUGAUGGCAGAACAUUUGUUCAGACCCAGGCCACUCUGCUCCAGAUGAGUGCCUCUAAAGGAAACCGUAAGAAACCGGAGGACAGCCAGUCAGAAUCAAAGAAAGUCAAACCGGCUCCUGCAGCUACGCCUCCAGCGUCAGUGGAAAAUAUUGAAAACCGAAAGUAAAAGAGAGAUUUUUCUUGCUACUUUUAUUUUAAUUAUGUAAGAACAUUAAAUUAUUUUACUUUCAACUCGAAAGUAUUUCAUUUCAGCAGUCAUCAUACUAAUUGUAUCAAAUUUAGGGAUGUACCAUAAAAAUUUAAUGAUUACUUUUGUUAAUAACUUUAUAUAUUAAUAAAUGAGAACAGUAGAGUAAAUCUGUAAUUUUAUUUUUUUUAAGACAAAGGCCUUAACCUCUUGGUAGUGUGUCUAAGUGAAAUCAGGUAUACUAUGAAAUAUAAUAACGUUUACAAAUUGGCAUAGAUAAUGAGUAUUUGAAUGAAAAACUCUGCAAUGAAAUUGUUGUUCCAAAAUGAAUCAGAUCAUUUUUGACAAUAUAACUCCAUUCUAAAAUGAAUUAUAGUCAGUCAUUAUUAUUUUUAAUCCAUAUUUAUUUAUUGAUGUUAGAUUAACAAAUCAAUCCAAAUGUUUUUUUUACCUGAUGUAAAUAAUCUCAAAGUAGAAUAUUAACAUUAAUCAGCUGUUCAUGAUUUGUGCUGGCUGACACCAGUAUGAUCUCCUAUAAGCUGUCAUUGUUUUUAAUGUUUUGUUUGCUGUUAUGUCUGUAACUACAAUUUACUUCCUUUAGGCCGAAAACUGGCUUUCAGCUGUGGCUUGAGGAGAAUAGGAAGAGCAUUCUAACAGACAAUCCUGACUUUGAGGAAAUGGAUGUUCUCAAGGAAGGCAUGGGGCGUUUCUGCACUAUUGUGACACAUGCACAUUUAUCUUAAACUGUUUAGUUAUUAUUCAGUCUAUUAUUAUAUUCAGGAAGGUUACCUAGGAAUUUCCCUGUUUCAGUUUUUUUUUUUUUUUUUUUUGCACGUGCAUUGGUUGUGUAACAGAUUUCAUUCAUGUACUUUCUUUUUUUUCUCUAGUUCAGUUUCCUCUAUUUUGUAAUUUGAUCCUAAAGCUCUAAGCCAGUUUAUCCAUGACAACACUGUUUAUUAGCAAGUAUCUUCCGAUUUUUCUGAUCUCCACUUACCUGUCUAUGUGUGGGUGCUUUCCAAACACUCAUUCUCUGCUGUAUGAACAAUCUGUCCGUGAGCCUGCACCCACAGGGCCACUCAGUGCAGGGCAGAAUGACUCUUCACACACUCCAGCAUGGAUGGGAAAUGGUUAGGACGCCUGUUGCUCUGGAAACCCUGGCUGGGGGUGUAUGCUGCACUCAUUGAUCUUAUGUUAAUGACUUGGGGGUGGCAUCAGCCGCUGAAAGAGUGCGUUACAAUGAAGAAUGGCGUGCAGCGUGGGGGGGGGGGGGGGUCGGCGUGCAAAAAGGGCCCCGGGGCUCAUAUGUGAAAUGGGUCUGGUGACUCAUCAUGGUCGUCGGUAAAUGUUUGCUGCUUUUGUUUACACAAACAAUUUUAAUUACAAUAACAGGCUUAUUUGAAUGAUACUGUUUAUCGCUUUUUUGAUUUUUGCAAGCAUGUACAUGAAUGAACAUAAUUCCAUUUUAUCUUUUGAUUCAGAACUGGAGGGAGAGAGCAAAGGGCGACGCUGACCCCAAGAAACGAAAGCGUGAAGAUGAAGAAGGACAAGCAGAUGAACAAAUGGAGUCGGAUGAGGGUAGCACCAAAAAGAAAAAGCCACUGGAUACUUCUGCUAAACUCUCUGCGUUUGCAUUUUACAACGAAUAGCACUUAACAUGAAUUUGUUUAAUGCUCAUGUAUUUUUAUAUUUUAUUUUAAUAUUGAUUUUGGGGAAAACCUAAAGUUUUUUGUUUUGUUUACUGUAAUUCGCUGACCUCUUAUUCUGUCAUAUAGACUGCCUGCUCAUUUGUGAUCCAUUUGUUCUCAAGUUUGAGCUCUUUUGAAAGCACUGUGCGUCUCUUCAUUUGUAUUUGAAAUGAAGCAAAGUCUCUUUAAAAAAAAUUGCAAGAUUAAUAACUAGCUCUCUUAAUCAAAUCUAGUGAAAUCCUGAAUGCUUUGGAUUUGUUUUUGUGAUGUUUUGUACUGUAUGUAAAACAAAUAAUCAUAAUAAAAG